rnacentral:rRNA from 2 species
UAGGGUCAAGCGAACAAGUGCAUGUGGUGGAUGCCUUGGCGAUCACAGGCGAUGAAGGACGCGGUAGCCUGCGAAAAGCUACGGGGAGCUGGCAAACGAGCUUUGAUCCGUAGAUGUCCGAAUGGGGAAACCCGGCCCUUUUGGGUCAUCCUGGACUGAAUACAUAGGUCCAGUGAAGCGAACGCGGUGAACUGAAACAUCUAAGUAACCGCAGGAAAAGAAAUCAACCGAGAUUCCCAAAGUAGUGGCGAGCGAAAUGGGAUGAGCCUUGCACUCUUUAUUUGUAUUGUUAGCCGAACGCUCUGGAAAGUGCGGCCAUAGCAGGUGAUAGCCCUGUAGGCGAAAACAGUAUGAAAGAACUAGGUGUGCGACAAGUAGGGCGGGACACGUGAAAUCCUGUCUGAAGAUGGGGGGACCAUCCUCCAAGGCUAAAUACUCGUGAUCGACCGAUAGUGAACCAGUACCGUGAGGGAAAGGCGAAAAGAACCCCGGGAGGGGAGUGAAAUAGAUCCUGAAACCGCAUGCAUACAAACAGUCGGAGCCUCGCAAGGGGUGACGGCGUACCUUUUGUAUAAUGGGUCAGCGACUUACGUUCAGUAGCAAGCUUAACCGUAUAGGGCAGGCGUAGCGAAAGCGAGUCCGAAUAGGGCGUUCAGUUGCUGGGCGUAGACCCGAAACCAAGUGAUCUAUCCAUGGCCAGGAUGAAGGUGCGGUAACACGUACUGGAGGUCCGAACCCACUAACGUUGAAAAGUUAGGGGAUGAGCUGUGGAUAGGGGUGAAAGGCUAAACAAACUUGGAAAUAGCUGGUUCUCUCCGAAAACUAUUUAGGUAGUGCCUCGUGUCUCACCUUCGGGGGUAGAGCACUGUCAUGGUUGGGGGGUCUAUUGCAGAUUACCCCGCCAUAGCAAACUCCGAAUACCGAAGAGUGCAAUCACGGGAGACAGACAUCGGGUGCUAACGUCCGGUGUCAAGAGGGAAACAACCCAGACCGCCAGCUAAGGUCCCCAAAUAUAGCUAAGUGGGAAACGAAGUGGGAAGGCUAAAACAGUCAGGAGGUUGGCUUAGAAGCAGCCACCCUUUAAAGAAAGCGUAAUAGCUCACUGAUCGAGUCGUCCUGCGCGGAAGAUGUAACGGGGCUAAGCUAUAUACCGAAGCUGCGGAUGCGAGCUAUGCUCGCAUGGUAGGAGAGCGUUCCGUAAGCCUGCGAAGGUGCGUUGAAAAGCGUGCUGGAGGUAUCGGAAGUGCGAAUGCUGACAUGAGUAGCGAUAAAGGGGGUGAAAGGCCCCCUCGCCGUAAGCCCAAGGUUUCCUACGCAACGUUCAUCGGCGUAGGGUGAGUCGGCCCCUAAGGCGAGGCAGAAAUGCGUAGCUGAUGGGAAGCAGGUCAAUAUUCCUGCACCAUUGUUAGAUGCGAUGGGGGGACGGAUCGCGGAAGGUUGUCCGGGUGUUGGAAGUCCCGGUCGCUGCAUUGGAGAAGGCGCUUAGGCAAAUCCGGGCGC